CUCAGACAGCCAGGAUGUUGGCUUAGAAGCAGCCAUCAUUUAAAGAAAGCGUAAUAGCUCACUGGUCGAGUCGGCCUGCGCGGAAGAUGUAACGGGGCUAAACUAUGCACCGAAGCUGCGGCAGCGAUAUUUAGAUAUUGUUGGGUAGGGGAGCGUUCUGUAAGCCUGUGAAGGUGUACUGUGAGGUAUGCUGGAGGUAUCAGAAGUGCGAAUGCUGACAUAAGUAACGAUAAUGCGGGUGAAAAACCCGCACGCCGGAAGACCAAGGGUUCCUGUCCAACGUUAAUCGGGGCAGGGUGAGUCGACCCCUAAGGCGAGGCAGAAAUGCGUAGUCGAUGGGAAACGGGUUAAUAUUCCCGUACUGGUGAUAAUUGCGAUGGGGGGACGGAGAAGGCUAGGCUAUCCGGGCGACGGUUGUCCCGGUUUAAGAAUGUAGGCAGGUGAAUUAGGCAAAUCCGGUUCACUAUAUGCUGAGGUUCGAUGACGAGUCACUACGGUGAUGAAGUAGCUCAUGCCCCGCUUCCAGGAAAAGCCUCUAAGCUCUAGAUUAUCAUUAAUCGUACCCCAAACCGACACAGGUGGUCAGGUAGAGAA
rnacentral:rRNA from 1 species